UACGGAGGGGGCUAGCGUUGUUCGGAAUUACUGGGCGUAAAGCGCACGUAGGCGGCUUUGUAAGUUAGAGGUGAAAGCCCGGGGCUCAACCCCGGAAUUGCCUUUAAGACUGCAUCGCUUGAACGUCGGGAGAGGUGAGUGGAAUUCCGAGUGUAGAGGUGAAAUUCGUAGAUAUUCGGAAGAACACCAGUGGCGAAGGCGGCUCACUGGACGACUGUUGAC
rnacentral:rRNA from 1 species